GCCUCGGUAAUGCAAUUGGUUAGCGCGCACUUUCGAAAAUGGUGAAACUAGGGUUUGAUUCCCCUUCUGAGGUC